AUAAAUAUGGCGAAAUAGGUAGACGCACUAAAUUUAGGAUUUAGUUUUUAAGAGUUCGAUCCUCUUUAUUUAUA